UCCCAGUUAGUACAAUGGUUAGUAUAGGGCACUCUCAGACACCCUACGAAUUUACGCGUCGGGUUUUCACUGCUCAGAUCAGGGUUCGAUUCCCUGGCCGGGAA